rnacentral:rRNA from 1 species
UACGAAGGGGGCUAGCGUUGCUCGGAAUUACUGGGCGUAAAGCGCACGUAGGCGGUCUUUUAAGUCGGGGGUGAAAUCCUGGAGCUCAACUCCAGAACUGCCUUCGAUACUGGAAGACUUGAGUUCCGGGAGAGGUGAGUGGAACUGCGAGUGUAGAGGUGAAAUUCGUAGAUAUUCGCAAGAACACCAGUGGCGAAGGCGGCUCACUGGCCCGAUACUGACGCUGAGGCACGAAAGUGUGGGGAGCAAACAGG